UACGAAGGGGGCAAGCGUUGUUCGGAAUUACUGGGCGUAAAGGGCGCGUAGGCGGCUUAUCAAGUCAGGCGUGAAAUUCCCGGGCUCAACCUGGGGGCUGCGCUUGAUACUGAUGAGCUUGAAUGCGGGAGAGGAUAGUGGAAUUCCCAGUGUAGAGGUGAAAUUCGUAGAUAUUGGGAAGAACACCGGUGGCGAAGGCGGCUAUCUGGCCCGUAAUUGACGCUGAGGCGCUAAAGCGUGGGGAGCAAACAGG
rnacentral:rRNA from 1 species